CUGUGGGCAAGGCAGGAAAACUCUAGCUACAGGAGGAUUUUUUUUUUAAUUGUAGGGGCCUUUCCAUUAGCUAGAAGCAACAGAAGUUUUCCCCAGAACAUUGCUGCCAAACAAACGACCUCAAACUUAAUGUCAGAAGCCGACAAAUGUCUGUUGCUCCCACGGUUCUGUGAGUUGCUGGAACUCACUUGGGUGACUCUUGGGGUUUUCUCAUAGGACUGCAGACAAGAUCCCCCAACAGGAGUCUCCAGGAAUCUCUCUCUCCUAGAGCCCAAGGACCGCUGGCCUGCGUCUGACACAACCCCAAGACCUCUGUUGCCCAAGAAGCUUCUCCACGUGGUUUCUGAAGGUGAACUGGCUGAGGGUGGACAGGAUUUCUUGUGGAUCCUCAGGUUUCUUUGCAAGACUUGGCAGGGAGCUGUCCUGGUCUGGUUUCCUCUGCUACUCCCCUGUUGCCUCUACAUCAAGGGGAGAGGAUUAAACUCCACCUCUUCAUGACAGUAGCAGUGUGGAGCUCCUCUGUAUUCUAGUGCAGCGACUUAGUGUCUUCACAGGAGGAAGGAGUUGCCGCCAAACCUCGUAGAUGUGACAGACACCAGAAGUCCCUGGCUUGCUGCUUGAAGCCAGAGACUGUGAGAGAUUUGUCAAGGCUGAGCCCAUAUACAGGCCCGGAGGCUGUGUAAGGACCAUACUGAGCUGAAGAUGAGGCAGUGAGCCCUAAACCCAAAGGAGGAUCAUGUCCCCAGGUAUUUUCAGGUUUGACUUUAGUCGAUGGUGAUACUAUCGUUCAUGGACAGAAAUCUAACCCCAGAGCCCUCGAGGAGAGAGAUCACCAGGCUGGCCCGGAGGUGUGAGUUCCCACGAACAUGAAGGGGCCGGAAGCCAGAGAUGAGAGAAUCAUGAACAGACACAAGGAAGAAGAUUCCCAAAGGUGACAGCUUGGGAGCAGCCAGCAUCUCCUCUGGCCAGUCCCCUCCCUCCAUCUUCUCCCACCAGAGCAACAGUUCAUGGCCCAGGUGUCCCUGAAGAAGCCGGGCAGGAUCCUAGCCAUUCUCUACAUAUUGACUGACUCUGCUUCCUCUACCUGAGACCGUGGAAUGCCUUUCUUUACUUUGUUUCUUGGGGCCUCCACACUCAAGGGUCAAACUGACUGCCCCUUCAACUGUCGACAAUAUGCCUCUGAGGAUGCUGGAUUGGAGAUUCCGCCUCUCUUCUUGUUUUUGCUCUACAGUUGGGAACAGAAGCCUCUAAGAGUCCUUCAAGCCCACACUGACUUGCCUCCUGGACAGGUGGAAUAAAUUAAAUCCCCAGGAUUUAGGAAGAAGACUUUAGGCUUUCAACCUGUGUGUGGCCUAAGGGCCUGCCCUCUGUGGGAUGGCAAAAACUAGCCAGUCCCCCCCCCCGGGGGGGGGGUGAUGACUUAAUUAUAAUCCCAUCGUUCAAUUAGAGCCGUUCUGAGGGAGAGAAGUAAACAAAGGGAAAUUCCCCAGAAUUCCCUGUACCCAAUAUUUCUCUUACUUCAGAGACCACCCAGAACUCAUUAAAAACAAUAACAAAACCCGGCAGACUCUAGCAAACCCUAAGCCAAAUGGCUCCAACUACGUGACUCUGGGAAAGACAUCAUCCAUGCUGAUAAAGACUUUCCAAUAUGGCUGCCUUCAGGUCCCCCAAGCUCUGUAAAUCAGCCUUCGAAAUUCACUGGUCCCUGUCGUUAGCUUUGGUGAAACUCCACUUUGGUUUGUCAUUGGGACCUUAUGAAGAGGGGAUAGACAUUGUUUAAUCCCCAUGGGAGAAAAUUCUCACAACAGGCAGUGAAUGUAUUUGUCAUGAUAUUAAGAAACCAGUAGGAUGUUAGGAUGAAAAAAAUGAAAAUAUUUUUAGUAAAGAAAGAUUUGUGUAUGAAAAUUAA